GUAGGUGAACCUGCGGAAGGAUCAUUAUUGAAUAAACUUGGUUGGGUUGUUGCUGGCUCCUAGGAGCAUGUGCACGCCUGAUCCAUUUUUAACCCCCUGUGCACCUUGUGUAGACUUAGAACAGCUCUCGAGACAAUGUACUCGGUUUGAGGAUUGCUGGUGUGUAAAGCUCAGCUUUUCUUGCGUUCAAGUCUAUGUCUUAUAUCACACCCCAUAAGAAUGUAUUAGAAUGCAAUAAAUAGGCCAUCGU
rnacentral:misc_RNA from 1 species